rnacentral:rRNA from 1 species
GACGAACGCUGGCGGCGUGCUUAACACAUGCAAGUGGAGCGACGAACCAGGCUUCGGCCUGGGGCAGAGCCGCGAACGGGUGAGUAACACGUGGGUAACCUGCCUCGAUGACCGGGACAACCCGGGGAAACCCGGGCUAAUACCGGAUGUGCUGCCUUCACAUCAGUGGAGACAGGAAAGAGCUUCGGCCUCCGCAUCGAGAUGGGCCCGCGGCCCAUUAGCUUGUUGGUGAGGAAUGGCUCACCAAGGCCGCGAUGGGUAGCUGGUCUGAGAGGACGAUCAGCCACACUGGGACUGAGACACGGCCCAGACUCCUACGGGAGGCAGCAGUGGGGAAUCUUGCGCAAUGCGCGAAAGCGUGACGCAGCAACGCCGCGUGGGGGAAGAAGGCC